CUAGAUUUAAUGAGCAGUGCCAGUAGAAUUAAUAAAUCUUCUCAAUACUCCCUGAAGCAGCUGCUCUAUUUUGAAAUAAUGAGCAUAUGGUUUCAUUAUAUUUCAUUGGUUUGAUCCCCUUCAGCUAAAGAAAUAUUCCAGGGGAAUGCAAACAACUUACAGAAUUUCUGCAUAUUUCUCACUCUUUUUAUUUUUCCUGGCUAAAUGGAAAUCUGACUAGCAUGUAAAAGGAAGAGCCAGAGGCAGCAUUCAAAUUCCUUAAUAGGGGUUGUGUGAGGGGUGAUGGGGCCUCCAACAAUAACGAGGACUUGUGUGUGCCUUGAAGCUGCAGUGCUGGGAGGUUUCCUCAGAGGUUUUGUUUCUGUGAAAGAAACUGAGAGAAACAAGCUCAAGCUGGACUAACACGACUUAUAAGCCGUAUUCUAUAUUUAAAAUUUCUCUUUAGAGGCAGAAAAUGGGCAAGGAGGAGGCUGAGAAAACAUCAAAGCAGCUUGUUGAUCUAAAAUAUUCAAAAUCUAUAGAAAGAAAGGAAGUUAUGAGUUAAUUUUCAACUGUUUGCAUGAAAAAACCUUCCAAAGUACAGCAAAACCUGUUUUACUUUCUUAAUUGCUAGAGCCAUUUCCUUGCCCAGCUGUUUAGAGGGGAAACUGUUCAAUAUUUUGUCCACUGUGCAUUCUGCUGCCAACAUUAGAAAACCAGGAUCUGAAGUGAGAGUCAUUUGCAAUUUUUUAAAUAAGAUCCUCCUAGAAACUGAUUUCAAGCAGCUACAAGGUCAUAGACUACCUUUUUAAAGGAGUCAGAAUAAAUCAGGAAAAUUUACAUAUGUUUUCCUUAGGUAACCAGAUAGUCUUGUCACCUCUGGUGCCUGGAGGGCAGGAGCCAUUCCUGGAAAGUUUGGUGACUGAGAAGGAGGAUUUAUUGGACUGUGAAAAAGCUCACAAAUAGCCACUCUUGUGCAAUGUUUCUUCUCAUGUGCUAAAGAGACCAAGUACAGCAAACUGGAGACAUUAAUCAUCUGGAAAGGUAAGAAACAGAUUUUAGCCCAGCACUGGAAAUUAUGAGAUCUGGGUUAUAUAACCCUUGACAAAUUGUGUUUCUGUUGACAAAACAGAGACUUAACUGCUUUUUUCAGGGUGGUAAAACAUAAACAAGAGCAUACAACUAAUAUAUCACCUGCUUAUUUUCACAAAUGAUAAUCAGCUGAAAGGAUUUGAGUUUACUUUCUGAAAAAUUAAGGCACUUCCCCUCAAGAUACUACAUAAAAUUUUAAGGUAUUUUGUGAUGGAAAUCAUACUGUAAGGGAACAGAACAGGCUGGGGCAGGAUUAGCAAUGGGGACUCAGCUGCAACUCCAAGUACUCCCUCUUCUCAGAAGUCAAAUUUUACCCAGGAAUCUUGCAGACAUCCACUCCUGUCUUGACAGAAUGGAUGUGAGCAGGGCAGCAUUGGGCUGAAGCGCUGCAACCAGAUGUAGGACAUGGUCAUGGCACAGAGGUGGUGUCUGCAUAUAAAUGAAACCAAAGAAAUGCAACGGAGGU
rnacentral:lncRNA from 1 species